rnacentral:lncRNA from 1 species
CAAUUAAUAUAUAAGAGAUAAAAGAUAACAAAACAUAAUAUACCAGAAUAUAUACAAAGAUAUAAAACAAAGAUCGCUCCUUUAGUCAACAUACUUAUUUCUCAAGAAUAAAUUACUGUUAAGAGAGAUGCUACAAGUACAAUGAUGGUUAAGAAGAUUUGUUGACAAUCAUAAUUUGGCAUAUCAUAUUCAUCCAUUUCAAAAAUUAUCUUUUUAAAUCAACUGUACCGAUUUUAACGCAUCAAACA